rnacentral:rRNA from 1 species
CCUGACCGUUGCUUCGGCGGGCAGGGGAAGCCUCUCGCGGGCCUCCCCUCCCGGCGCCGGCCCCACCACGGGGACGGGGCGCCCGCCGGAGGAAACCAAACUCUAUUUACACGACGUCUCUUCUGAGUGGCACAAGCAAAUAAUUAAAACUUUUAACAACGGAUCUCUUGGUUCUGGCAUCGAUGAAGAACGCAGCGAAAUGCGAUAAGUAAUGUGAAUUGCAGAAUUCAGUGAAUCAUCGAAUCUUUGAACGCACAUUGCGCUCGCCAGCAUUCUGGCGAGCAUGCCUGUUCGAGCGUCAUUUCAACCCUCAAGCACCGCUUGGUUUUGGGGCCCCACGGCACACGUGGGCCCUUAAAGGUAGUGGCGGACCCUCCCGGAGCCUCCUUUGCGUAGUAACUAACGUCUCGCACUGGGAUCCGGAGGGACUCUUGCCGUAAAACCCCCCAAUUCUUUACAGGUUGACCUCGGAUCAGGUAGGAAUACCCGCUGAACUUAAGCAUAUCAGUAAGCCGGAGGAAA